rnacentral:rRNA from 1 species
UACGUAGGGAGCGAGCGUUAUCCGGAAUUAUUGGGUGUAAAGGGUGCGUAGACGGGAAAGCAAGUUAGUUGUGAAAUCCCUCGGCUUAACUGAGGAACUGCAACUAAAACUACUUUUCUUGAGUGCAGGAGAGGUAAGUGGAAUUCCUAGUGUAGCGGUGAAAUGCGUAGAUAUUAGGAGGAACACCAGUGGCGAAGGCGACUUACUGGACUGUAACUGACGUUGAGGCACGAAAGUGUGGGGAGCAAUCAGG